rnacentral:rRNA from 1 species
UACGGGGGGGCAAGCGUUGUUCGGAAUUACUGGGCGUAAAGGGCCCGUAGGCGGCCAACUAAGUCAGACGUGAAAUCCCUCGGCUUAACCGGGGAACUGCGUCUGAUACUGGAUGGCUUGAGUUUGGGAGAGGGAUGCGGAAUUCCAGGUGUAGCGGUGAAAUGCGUAGAUAUCUGGAGGAACACCGGUGGCGAAGGCGGCAUCCUGGACCAACACUGACGCUGAGUGAGCGAAAGCCAGGGGAGCAAACGGGG